rnacentral:rRNA from 1 species
GAUGAACGCUGGCGGCGUGCCUAAUACAUGCAAGUCGAGCGAACAGACGAGGAGCUUGCUCCUCUGACGUUAGCGGCGGACGGGUGAGUAACACGUGGAUAACCUACCUAUAAGACUGGGAUAACUUCGGGAAACCGGAGCUAAUACCGGAUAAUAUAUUGAACCGCAUGGUUCAAUAGUGAAAGACGGUUUUGCUGUCACUUAUAGAUGGAUCCGCGCCGCAUUAGCUAGUUGGUAAGGUAACGGCUUACCAAGGCAACGAUGCGUAGCCGACCUGAGAGGGUGGACGGCCAAACUGGAACUGAGACACGGUCCAGACACCUAAGGGGGGCAACAGUAGGGAAUCUUCCGCAAUGGGGGGAAGCCGGACGGGGCAAAGCCGCGGGAGGGAAGAAGGUCUUCGGAUCGGAAAACUCUUUUAUUGGGGAAGAAAAAAAGUGUAAGGAAAUGUGCACAUCUUGACGGGACCUAAUCAGAAAGCCACGGCUAACUACGUG